rnacentral:rRNA from 1 species
AUUAAGUUUAAUUUAAUAUAGGAUCUGCUCAAUGAUUUAUUAAAUAGCUGCAGUAUUUUGACUGUGCAAAGGUAGCAUAAUAAUUAGUCUUUUAAUUGAGGACUUGUAUGAAAGAUUUGAUGAGAAAUAAACUUUAUUAUUUAUAUAAUUAAAAUUUUAUUUUUAAGUAAAAAAGCUUAAAUUAUUUAAAGGGACGAUAAGACCCUAUAAAACUUUAUAAAUGAUAAUUUUAAUUUUUUUGGAUUUAUAAAUAUUUUAAUUUUAUUAUUUAUUUUAUUGGGGUGAUAAAAAAAAUUUUUAAACUUUUUUUAAAAUUUUACAUUAUUUAAUGAAUAUUUGAAUUAAAAUUUUUAAUUAAAGGAAAAAGUUACUUUAGGGAUAACAGCGUAAUUAAUUUUUUAAGUUCAAAUUUGAAAAUUAGUUUGCGACCUCGAUGUUGAAUUAAGAUUAAUCUUAGGUGCAAAAUUUUAAGUAUUAGGUCUGUUCGACCUUUAAAUUCUUACGUGA